AGGGUUUGAUUAUGGCUCAGGAUGAACGCUAGCGACAGGCUUAACACAUGCAAGUCGAGGGGCAGCACGGUGUAGCGAUACACUGGUGGCGACCGGCGCACGGGUGAGUCACACGUGUGCAACCAACCCCGUACCGGGAGAUAACCCGCGGAAACGUGGACUAACAUCCCAUAACACUGGAAGCCCGCAUGGGCAUCCAUUUAAAACCCCGGUGGUACGGGACGGGCACGCGCGACAUUAGGUAGUUGGCGGGGUAACGGCCCACCAAGCCGACGAUGUCCAGGGGUUCUGAGAGGAAGGUCCCCCACACUGGAACUGAGACACGGUCCAG
rnacentral:rRNA from 1 species